rnacentral:rRNA from 1 species
UACGGAGGGUGCAAGCGUUAUCCGGAAUCACUGGGUUUAAAGGGUGCGUAGGCGGUGGAGUAAGUCAGUUGUGAAAUUCCCUCGCUUAACGAGUGGGACUGCGAUUGAUACUGCUUUACUUGAAUCAGGUUGAGGUGAGCGGAAUGUGGCAUGUAGCGGUGAAAUGCAUAGAUAUGCCAUAGAACACCGAUUGCGAAGGCAGCUUGCUGGACCUUGAUUGACGCUGAGGCACGAAAGCGUGGGGAGCAAACAGG